UACGUAGGGUCCAAGCGUUAUCCGGAAUCACUGGGCGUAAAGCGUGCGUAGGCGGGUAUUUAAGUGAGAUGCGAAAUCUUGUGGCUCAACCAUAUAGACUGUAUCUCAUACUGGAUACCUUGAGGACGGCAGAGGCAAGUGGAAUUACUGGUGUAGCAGUGAAAUGCGUAGAUAUCAGUAGGAACACCAAUGGCGAAGGCAGCUUGCUGGGCCGUUUCUGACGCUAAGGCACGAAAGCGUGGGGAGCGAACAGG
rnacentral:rRNA from 1 species